rnacentral:misc_RNA from 1 species
CAAUAAGUGUUCAAUGGCACUUUCAAAUCCAUUACCCACCUUGUGUGCACUGUCAGGGGGGGGGAGGCCAGACUUGUCUGCCUCUCUUUCCCAUCAUUAUACAUACAAUCUUCAUUCUUGUCUACUUCAUUGAGUAUAAAAAACUCUAAUA